rnacentral:rRNA from 1 species
GGCAAGCGUUGUCCGGAAUUAUUGGGCGUAAAGCGCGCGCAGGCGGUUCCUUAACUCUGAUGUGAAAGCCCACGGCUCAACCGUGGAGGGUCAUUGGAAACUGGGGAACUUGAGGACAGAAGAGGAGAGUGGAAUUCCCCGUGUACCGGUGAAAUGCGUAGAUAUGUGGAGGAACACCAGUGGCGAAGGCGACUCUCUGGUCUGUUUCUGACGCUGAGGUGCGAAAGCGUGGGUAGCAAACAGGAUUAGAUACCCUGGUAGUCCACGCC